AGAACAAAUAUCCAUUACCAAGAAUAGAUGACUUAUUUGAUCAAUUACAAGGGGCUCAAGUGUUUUCAAAGAUUGAUUUGAGAUCAGGAUAUCAUCAAUUGAAGAUUGCCAAGGAAGAUAUCCCAAAGACUGCUUUCCGAACUAGAUAUGGUCACUUUGAAUUUCUAGUUAUGCCGUUUGGGUUAACAAAUGCUCCAGCUGUGUUUAUGGCACUUAUGAACAAAGUGUUUCAACCUUUUCUGGAUAAAUUUGUUAUAGUAUUCAUCGAUGACAUAUUGGUAUAUUCAAAGAGUAAAUCUGAGCAUGAAGAGCAUUUAAGAACAGCUUUACAAAUCUUAAGAGAAAACCAAUUAUAUGCUAAGCUGAGUAAAUGUGAGUUUUGGUUGGACCAUGUCGUAUUCCUAGGACAUGUUAUUUCUAGUAAAGGAAUUGAAGUGGACCCAAAGAAAAUAGAGGCUAUAUGGAAUUGGGAAGUACCCAAGAAUGUUACAGAAGUGAGGAGUUUCCUAGGAAUGGCUGGUUAUUACAGACGUUUUGUUGAAGGAUUUUCUAAGAUUGCCGGACCAAUGACCAAAUUACUCAGAAAGAAUGUUCCUUUUCAAUGGACUGAAGAAGCUCAACAAAGUUUUGAUGAAUUAAAGCGAAGAUUGACAUCCGCUCCAGUGUUGACUACACCAUCAGGACAAGGUGGUUUUGUAGUAUAUAGUGAUGCGUCACAACAAGGUUGAACAAAUAUCCAUUACCAAGAAUAGAUGACUUAUUUGAUCAAUUACAAGGGGCUCAAGUGUUUUCAAAGAUUGAUUUGAGGUCAGGAUAUCAUCAAUUGAAGAUUGCCAAGGAAGAUAUUCCGAAGACUGCUUUCCGAACUAGAUAUGGUCACUUUGAAUUUCUAGUUAUGCCGUUUGGGUUAACAAAUGCUCCAGCUGUGUUUAUGGCACUUAUGAACAAAGUGUUUCAACCUUUUCUGGAUAAAUUUGUUAUAGUAUUCAUCGAUGACAUAUUGGUAUAUUCAAAGAGUAAAUCUGAGCAUGAAGAGCAUUUAAGAACAGCUUUACAAACCUUAAGAGAAAACCAAUUAUAUGCUAAGCUGAGUAAAUGUGAGUUUUGGUUGGACCAUGUCUUAUUCCUAGGACAUGUUAUUUCUAGUAAAGGAAUUGAAGUGGACCCAAAGAAAAUAGAGGCUAUAUGGAAUUGGGAAGUACCCAAGAAUGUUACAGAAGUGAGGAGUUUCCUAGGAAUGGCUGGUUAUUACAGACGUUUUGUUGAAGGAUUUUCCAAGAUUGCCGGACCAAUGACCAAAUUACUCAGAAAGAAUGUUCCUUUUCAGUGGACUGAAGAAGCUCAACAAAGUUUUGAUGAAUUAAAGCGAAGAUUGACAUCUGCUCCAGUGCUGACUACACCAUCAGGACAAGGUGGUUUUGUAGUAUAUAGUGAUGCGUCACAACAAGGCUUAGGAUGUGUCCUUAUGCAACAUGGAAAAGUUAUAGCCUAUGCUUCAAGACAGCUCAGACCGCAUGAGAAGUCAUAUCCUGUACAUGAUCUAGAAUUGGCAGCAAUUGUUUUUGCAUUGAAAAUUUGGAGGCAUUACUUAUACGGGGAGACAUUUCAGAUUUUUACAGACCAUAAGAGUCUAAAGUAUUUAAUGAGUCAGAAAGAGUUGAAUAUGAGACAGAGAAGAUGGGUGGAACUUUUAAAGGAUUAUGAUUGUACGUUAGAAUAUCACCCAGGAAAGGCCAAUAUAGUGGCAGACGCUUUAAGUCGGAAAUGUAGUAGCGUAGCAAAUCUUCAAGGAUCGACGUUCCCAUCUUUAGUUGAAUUAAGAAAGAUGAAUAUUGGGUUAGAGGUUGACACCUGUGGAGUUUUAUUGGCUACACUAAAUAUCCGACCAGUGUUGAAGGAAAGGAUCCAGAAGGCACAAAUAAAUGAUCCUAAAUUAAGAGACGCAGUCGAGAGAGUAAGACAAGGUCAAGUACUAGGAUCAGUUCACGUUAUAUGAGGAUACUUUAAUGUUAGGAAACAGAAUUUGCGUUCCUGAUGAUGAAGACUUACGACGAGAAAUACUAGAUGAAGCUCAUAAUGCUCCAUAUGCAAUGCAUCCCGGAGCAACAAAAAUGUAUAACACGAUGAAAUCUCAUUAUUGGUGGUCUGGAAUGAAAAAAGAUGUGGCAGAGUUUACAGCCAAAUGUUUAACGUGUCAACAAGUGAAAGUGGAACAUCAAGCUCCAGCUGGGAAGUUACAUCCGUUGUCGAUUCCUGAGUGGAAGUGGGAAAAGAUCACUAUGGAUUUUGUAACAAAUUUACCCAAGACAAGGAAGGGAAAUGAUGCAAUAUGGAUCAUUGUUGAUCGACUUACCAAAUCAGCUCAUUUUCUACCAAUACGUUGGGGUUGCACACUAGAUCAUUUAGCUCAAAGGUAUGUGAAUGAGAUUGUACGAUUACAUGGAGUACCAAUAUCCAUUGUUUCAGAUAGAGAUCCAAGAUUUACUUCUAGAUUUUGGAAAAGUUUACAAGAAGCAAUGGGUACAAGAUUGAAUUUUAGUACAGCCUUUCAUCCUCAGACUGAUGGGCAAUCUGAAAGAACCAUUCAAACGUUAGAGGAAAUGUUAAGAGCGUGUGUGAUUGAGUUUAAAGGUUCAUGGGAUGAAUAUAUUGCUUUGAUGGAAUUCGCCUACAACAAUCAUUUCCAUAGCAGUAUUGGAAUGGCACCUUAUGAAGCCUUGUAUGGACGGAAGUGCAGAAGUCCCUUGUACUGGGAUAAAGAAGGUACUAUCAUUUUAGAAGGGCCAGAACUUGUCCAGAAUGCAGUAGAUAAGGUAAACAUUGUAAAAGCAAAGCUGAAGGCUACCCAAGAUCGACAGAAAAGUUAUGUGGACCAAAAUAGAAGAGAGAUGGAAUAUCAAGUAGGUGAUAAAGUAUUUCUGAAAGUAUCACCAUGGAAAGGGGUGAUGAGAUUCGGCAAUAAAGGGAAGUUGAGUCCUAGGUAUAUUGGACCAUAUGAAAUAAUUGAGAAGAUAGGACCACUUGCCUAUAGAUUAGCAUUGCCCCCAGAACUUUCUCAAAUCCAUGAUGUAUUUCAUGUAAGCAUGUUACGAAGAUAUAGGUCAGAUCCUACACACGUUUUGAAGGACCCCGGGAUAGAAAUCAAUGACAAUUUGAGUUACAUUGAAGAACCUGUCAAGAUAAUAGGGCACAAGACCAAACAACUGAGGAAUAGAGAAAUACCGCUAGUCAAAGUACUAUGGAGAAACCACGCAGUGGAAGAAGCCACAUGGGAGACAGAGGAGCAUAUGAGAAGCAAGUACCCUCACCUAUUCGACAAUCCAGGUACAUUUUUGAAUUUUGAGGACAAAAUUCUUUAAAGGGGGGAAGAGUUGUCACACCCUGGUCCCAAACAAAUGCUUAUAUAAUACUUUUGAAUGUAUUAAAAUAGUUUUCGGGAUUUUUAGAUUUAACAAAAAUAUUUUGUUUUAGGAUUUAUAAGGAAUUUGCGAAUAGUAAGGUGACCCUAUAAAGGAGAAAGGACAUGAAGGGG
rnacentral:lncRNA from 1 species